rnacentral:rRNA from 1 species
GACGAACGCUGGCGGCGUGCUUAACACAUGCAAGUCGAACGGAAAGGCCCUGCUUUUGUGGGGUGCUCGAGUGGCGAACGGGUGAGUAACACGUGAGUAACCUGCCCUUGACUUUGGGAUAACUUCAGGAAACUGGGGCUAAUACCGGAUAGGAGCUCCUGCUGCAUGGUGGGGGUUGGAAAGUUUCGGCGGUUGGGGAUGGACUCGCGGCUUAUCAGCUUGUUGGUGGGGUAGUGGCUUACCAAGGCUUUGACGGGUAGCCGGCCUGAGAGGGUGACCGGCGACAUUGGGACUGAGAUACGGCGCAGACUCCUACGGGAGGCAGCAGUGGGGAAUAUUGCCCAAUGGGCGGAAGCCUGAUGCAGCAACGCCGCGUGCGGGAUGACGGCCUUCGGGUUGUAAACCGCUUUCGCCUGUGACGAAGCGUGAGUGACGGUAAUGGGUAAAGAAGCACCGGCUAACUACGUG